rnacentral:rRNA from 1 species
CAGUAGCCGCGGUAAUACGAAGGGUGCAAGCGUUAAUCGGAAUUACUGGGCGUAAAGCGUGCGUAGGUGGUGGUUUAAGUCCGUUGUGAAAGCCCUGGGCUCAACCUGGGAAUUGCAGUGGAUACUGGAUCACUAGAGUGUGGUAGAGGAUAGUGGAAUUUCCGGUGUAGCAGUGAAAUGCGUAGAGAUCGGAAGGAACAUCUGUGGCGAAGGCGACUAUCUGGGCCAACACUGACACUGAGGCACGAAAGCGUGGGGAGCAAACAGGAUUAGAUACCCCGGUAGUCCCUGUCUCUUAUAC